rnacentral:rRNA from 1 species
UGGGGAAUAUUGGACAAUGGACCAAAAGUCUGAUCCAGCAAUUCUGUGUGCACGAUGACGGUCUUCGGAUUGUAAAGUGCUUUCAGUUGGGAAGAAGAAAGUGACGGUACCAACAGAAGAAGCGACGGCUAAAUACGUGCCAGCAGCCGCGGUAAUACGUAUGUCGCAAGCGUUAUCCGGAUUUAUUGGGCGUAAAGCGCGUCUAGGCGGUUUGGUAAGUCUGAUGUGAAAAUGCGGGGCUCAACUCCGUAUUGCGUUGGAAACUGCCAAACUAGAGUACUGGAGAGGUGGGCGGAACUACAAGUGUAGAGGUGAAAUUCGUAGAUAUUUGUAGGAAUGCCGAUGGAGAAGUCAGCUCACUGGACAGAUACUGACGCUGAAGCGCGAAAGCGUGGGGAGCAAACAGG